rnacentral:rRNA from 1 species
AUUGAACGCUGGCGGCAUGCCUUACACAUGCAAGUCGAACGGCAGCACGGGGGCAACCCUGGUGGCGAGUGGCGAACGGGUGAGUAAUGCAUCGGAACGUGCCCAGUAGUGGGGGAUAAC